CAGAAAUGAAUGAAUUAACGCUGCUGUCGACUCGCAGCAACGUCUUGAAAGAAAGACAAAAAACAAUUCGGACUACUUCAUGAAACUAGUAUACAGAUUGACGUUGCAUUUUGUUCUGUGGUGCUUGCUAACCUAACUGAGUUGGGGGUAGGAGCUAAUCCGCUUCUCAAUUUGAGGGGUGAAUGUAAAAUGCUUGUAUUUUUUUCUACUCGGCACAAGCUUCAUGUGUAAGAGAGGGGUUUCGCGAUAGUAGCAGAUCUGAGCCAAUAGAAUUUGAAUGCUAUCGGGCGGUCUUUCAGCGCCCAGUAGUGUUCUUCACGAUCCCUGCCUAAUUUACAUAUAGCCUAAAUAUAAGGAGGUCGAGUAAAAGCGGAGAGUCAUUCUUUUUGUGUUACAAUAGAGAGAAGAUAUGCCUGAGCCAGCGAAGUCUGCGCCCAAGAAGGGCUCGAAGAAGGCAGUGACGAAGACUGCCGGAAAAGGGGGAAAGAAGCGCAAGAGGUCCAGGAAGGAGAGCUACGCCAUUUACGUGUACAAGGUCCUGAAGCAGGUUCAUCCGGACACGGGUAUUUCUUCCAAGGCCAUGGGUAUCAUGAAUUCUUUCGUCAAUGAUAUCUUCGAGCGUAUCGCUGGUGAGGCGUCCCGCCUGGCUCACUACAACAAGCGCUCCACCAUCACUUCUAGGGAGAUCCAGACAGCCGUGCGCCUUCUGCUUCCUGGCGAACUGGCCAAGCACGCCGUGUCUGAGGGAACCAAGGCGGUCACCAAGUACACCAGCUCCAAGCGUCAGCAAAGUGGUGGAUGUGGGAAGUUUAGACUUCAGCCAACGACCCAUUAGGAGUUGUGCAGGUGAGUAACCUAUACCUUCUAAUGGCGUAUUGCGAUACUCUAACAUUGCAAUGUAAGGAUCUCCCUUAGCAUGUUGUGCCUUUUUAAGUCAGUUUUUGACAGUUUGAAUCAUUCUUUUGGCUUGUCCAUUUGACUGAGUGUGACCUGGGCUUGAUGUAAUAUGUCUGAAAUUUUCUGAAUUCGAAACUGGCGAAUUGCAAACCAUUGUCUGAAAUAACAAUGUUUGGAAUGCCAUGCCUGACAAAAAUUGACUUGAGAGAAUUGAUGACACUUUGGGUUGUGGUGGCUGAUAAUUUGAGAAUCUGUGGGAAUUUGGAAUAAAAAUACAGAGAAUAUAUUCUGAUCCAUUGUGGUGGAAAAGAUCUGUUCCGAUCUUGGACCAUGGUCUUCCUGGUAAUGAAUGUGGAAUUAGAGGCUUGCGUGGAUUAUUGUUUUUGUUGGUGUUACGUACAGAGCAUUGUGACACAUAUUCUUCAAUCUGCGCUGACAUAUUUGGCCAAUAUAAAAAGUCUCUUGCUCUUCCUUUGCAUUUUACUACUCCUAAAUGCGAUUUUGAAUCUUACCAAGCAUUUCUUGUCGCAGCUGAGUUGGUACUAUGAGCUUUGCAGCUUUGAAUGGUAAUCCUGAUGUGUAAUUAAUUUCUUCCUUGAAUCUCCAGUACGUUCGAAUUUCUUUAGGAACAGCGUCUCUGCCAUCCCUUCAUUGUCAUCAUGUGUAAUUGCUGCAUCUCAGGAUCAGCAGCUAUUGCUGUUCGGAACGUGGUCAGCUUUUCAGUUGUUAUGGGCAGCUGGGGUGUAACCCAAUUAAAUUCAAGUUCUUCACCAAGCAAAUCUUCAGCUUGCUUGUUUGAUAAGCCCUGCUCAAUGCAUCAGCAAUGUGCAUUUCUUUUCCAGGUUUGUGUAUUACAUUGAAACUGUACCUUUGAAGUCUGAGCAUCUAUUUUGUGUAGUGGCUUUUUGAAUAUUGUCUCUAAGGGUUUGUGGUCACUCUCCAGUAGAAUGUGUUUGCCAUGCACAUAUUGAUGGAAUUUUUCACAACCAUACACUAUGGCUAACAGCUCUUUUUCUAUUUGUGCAUACCUGCGUUUGGAAUCUUGUGAGUGCAUGAGAUCCAUAGGGAACAGGUCUUCCUUCUUGGAGAACUACUGCUCCUAUGCCUUCAAAAUUGGCAUCUACUGAUAGUGUCACAGGUCUGUGACGUACACGUCAAUGCUUUCAGAAGGACCUUGAGCUCUCGUGAUGAACAAAUGUCGAAUAUACGCUUCUUCUCCCGCGACGUGCAGAAAUGUGGCACACUGAAUUUUCUCCGACCUCUCGGCAAUUCCACUUGCAGUUACAAAUAGGUCAUAUUUUUGUACCCAUAGCUUCCAGUUUUCCGCAAGGUUGCCUUGUAAACAUAGAGGCGAAGGUGGUUGUAAUUGCUUCUAUGGCAUAAAAUCCCGUUCUGACACCGUGUAAUGUUCCUUAACUGAAUUUGCAAAGACAGGCGUACGACCAUGUGCUGUGCUCAGAAUCACUUUUCAAAUAAUGUCGUCUCCUUCAUAACCAGGAACGUUUCUCAUGUUCACACUGCAAGAACUCGGCCUGAUUGUAGUUCCUUAGGGACAGUUCAGGAACCCUUUAGUACCUCCUCCAGACUAAGUACUUUUAGUUUGAACAUAAACUAUUGGGGCGGUGCUUACAGUGAUACAGCUGAUUGGUUAACCACAAGCACUGCCAGAAACAUUACUUCUCUUCCUCUUUUUAAAUCUAGACUCAAAACUCACUUGUUUAAAAUUGUUUAUUCAACAUAACCUUUUUUUUAUUCUGU